UAUUGUGUUGUUCUGUAACGCCUGUUUGGUUUUGUAUGAAUCCCGUGGCAAAUUGGUUUUGAUCAUUUAAGUUCUCAUGAAGUUUCGUCCCGACGGUAGCAUAUUAGCGUGCUAGCUUACCGGCAUGCUAAGGAGACGGUGCGGUUCCACGUUCAUGACGUGCAUUUCGCUCUUUCAUCAGGGGGGCCAGGUGGACGGGACGCUCUGCUCAAACAGCUCAUGUUUUGUUUUACUAUUUCAGAUAGGGUAGCCGACGCAUCUGGGAAGGCACCAGUAAUGCUGAACGAUAUACAUACAGGUUUUGGAGCAACAUAUGCUGCCAUCCAGCUGACGUCUUUCAGAGAAGGCUUUGUACACACACAGUCACAUAUGGGUUUAUAUGAUUUGUAAAUCAUUGCAUUCUGUUUUUAUAUACAUUUAUACUGCGUCCAAACUGGGGUUGCAUUCAAUAUAACUAUUUAUUCUGUCUCGUGGGGGUGGCACGAUGCCUCAGUGCGAGGCGCUGUUACCUCACACAUUUAGGGAUUAGACAUCUGCAUGCCCUCUAAGUAUUAUGAAUUAUGUAUCUUUAAAUUGCCCGAGUUUAUGACUGUGUGCCCUGCAACUGACUGGCAUAACAUCCAGGAUGUACCCCAGCAUUGUGUCCUAUGCUUCCUGGGACAGGCUCCAGGCUACCCAUGAACCUGUACUGGAGAAGCAGUUGGAAGAUGCUCGAAUAUCCAUCCACAGUACACUUGUGAGACAAGAACUGCAGCAGAUUCAAUGGAAAAGGAGCAGAGGUGGUGAACAUUACCAUGAACGUCUGGCCUCGGCUGAAGGGCAUGCCUCCGGAACGUUCCUCCGUGCCCCAUCUGCCUUGCACCUGGUUGUUGCGCACCACUGUGUUCUCGUCAAAGCGGGGGUUAAAAUGCAGGGCGAUCCCAGAUCUGGAGCACAGGUUGAUGUGGAACCUGGGCAGCGAUGUCAAAAGGUGUUAUUUUCUGUUAUUUCUCCUGUCCUUUGUCCCCUUACCUCUAACCUACAAUCACCUGUAUGAGGACGAAACACUUCGAUUUAGAGAAGGAAGCCUUUCUUAUAAACGGAUGCAGUGACAUCAGGCUGAAAAAAAUUGCUUCCAGUGCAUAAAGUGAAAAGUGACUGUUGUCAAUGUUACGGGUGAACAACUAAUUGAACAUGUGAAACGCCAUCCUGGCAGCCCUAUCCUGUGUCACACAGGUGUGAGAUCCUGUUUGCACCAGACCUUUUAGCGUCAGGAUGGACCACGCCCUGGAUGGUGAUGUUCCUCCCUGCAUAAAGUCCACCAGGUAUGAUGGCCUUGUACGGAAUGACCUGGGUGCACAAAAAACAAUUGGUGUCACCAGGGCACUGUGGCCACGCCCAUUGUGAUGUGAGCACCAUGGCAACGACGAUUAUUGGAUGAUAAGUCGAGGGGGGGUGUACUUACAAAGGAGGGAGAAUAUCCAGGCAUGGCCUGUAAAAUAAAGAGUUAUGACAACAAUAUUAAAUUAAAUUAAAUCACCGUCAGAUAGAAAGUCACCUACAUCCCUGUAAGGAGAUAUUUUCUUUGCCAUUUCUUUAAAUGAUGCAUAAUGUCUCACAGAACAACAAACACAUAUCUGAUUAUGACCAUUCUUUCAUUUACCCAUUAAUCCGGAAUUAAUCCUUACAAGCUUUUGGGACAAAAGAAAGAAAAUUUCUACCUUCACCCUUUUUAUACAUAUAUAUAUAUAUAUAAACUGAAGAGCAAAUUUCCAAAAGCCACUCUUUAACAAAAGUUCUUCAUUGGGUUACAUGAGGACUGAGCGAGUUUUGGUUCUCAGUACUGUAACAUACGACAAGGAAGCCUGAGUUUAGGUAAUUCGCGGUCUUGUCUCAAAAAUCACAAAAAACAUAGAGUUUUGAAAAUUUGCUCAUUUGGGGAGAGGGACGGAGAGAGAGAGAGGCCAAAUAAUUUUAUCUACCAGCCCCCAGUAUUUACUCAUUUCACAGUGAUGCACUUAGGCAGAGAGAGAGAAGGGAAGUGAAAUAGAGGAAACGCCCAAGUAAUUUUAUCUACCAGCCCCCGAUAUUUGCUCAUUCCAUAGUGAUGCACUUUGACUGACAUUCAAGAUGUCCUAGUCCAGUGUUUCCCAAUCCGAUCCUCAGGGGUACACAGACAGUUCAUGUUUUAUCUUGGGAGAGAGCAAAAAUAUGGACCAUCACUUAAAUGGAUGGUCACUUAAGACCAAAAGCUGGGGAUUUAGCUCUGCUUUGCUGACAGCAAUAUUUCCUACAUAGCAUGUGCAAGCUAAAAAAAAAUAAAAAAUCAGGAUCGUUUCCUGAUUACACUGAAGAAAUGGCUGGAUACAUGCAAUAGUAUAAAGGGAAAACGUUUGGAAAAGUCCUAUGACCUACUUUGGUCAUAAAAAGAAACUAAUAAUAAAAAGCUAAAGCAGUAAAAUAUCCAGCUGCCCAGCUAAGUAAUUCUGUUACUUGAAUGAAAGCUGCCCAUUAACUGGGCCUCCUGGCUGCACACACAGCAGAUGUGGGAAGUUUAACCAGCAGCUCUGGAGGUGUGAAGCCAUAGCGCCACCUGCUGGCCUGCCA